UUACGUUUACGGGAGGCAGCAGUGAGGAAUAUUGGUCAAUGGGCGCUAGCCUGAACCAGCCAAGUAGCGUGAAGGAUGACUGCCUUAUGGGUUGUAAACUUUUUUUAUAUGGGAAAAAAGUGCAGCUGUAACUGUUGC
rnacentral:rRNA from 1 species